GUGCUCACUUCAACAGCACAUAUACUAAAAUUGUAAUGAAACAGAGAUUAGCAUGGCCCCUGCACAAGAAUGACGUGCAAAUUUGUGAAACGUUCCAUUUUUAA
ensembl:snRNA U6 U6 spliceosomal RNA